rnacentral:rRNA from 1 species
AUGUGCUCGACGUCGGCUGCAUCGAGCAGCAGCAGCUACCAGCACCAUCGGGCCUCUACCUCCCCUGCCGCCUCGACAAGUCCGGCCUCCUGCAGCCCCUUUUCGUCCCUAACCGAGCAGUGCGCCUUCUCAUCGCCCUGCCUCCAUGUCCACUGCGUGUGCCAGCGCCCAUGUCCAAGUACCACGUUUUCUCUGCUGCCCCGUGCACCUUUGGCUGCUGCCUUGAGAGGCCCUUUUGUCGUGAUUCAUUUCGGGUCGGCCAGAACGAGAACGCCAAGUACCUUCGCCGAAGAUUCAUGUAUAACUACCAUCGCCAAGACCCCGUGA